rnacentral:rRNA from 1 species
UACGGAGGGGGCUAGCGUUGUUCGGAAUUACUGGGCGUAAAGCGCACGUAGGCGGCUUUGUAAGUUAGAGGUGAAAGCCCGGGGCUCAACUCCGGAACUGCCUUUAAGACUGCAUCGCUUGAAUCAUGGAGAGGUUAGUGGAAUUCCGAGUGUAGAGGUGAAAUUCGUAGAUAUUCGGAAGAACACCAGUGGCGAAGGCGGCUAUCUGGCCCGUAAUUGACGCUGAGGCGCGAAAGCGUGGGGAGCGAACAGG